CAUAUAUGCAUCCAUCCCUCGCUCACACCACUGCACCGAAAGAACAAACACAAGAUGGAGAAAGCCUCGAGCGCCGCCGUCCUUGUCGCAUUCCUCGCCGCCGCCGCCGCCCUCGUCCCGGCCGCCACCUGCCAAGUAUGCCCGCCGCUGCAACCAGGCGAACAAACCCGCAAGAACAGCAGCAACAUGACGAGGUUCGUGUGCAACAUCGAGGACCGCAUGGGGAACAAGGACUACGAGAUGAACUUUGCCUGCAACAACAAAAUGUCCUUCGACCUCAGCGACGGCGGCUCGACCACGUUGCAGUGCUACAACGGCGUGCUCGGCCGAGCUGCGCCUCCGCCGCCAGCCAUUGGAUGGAGCGGCACGGAGCAGCGCAACCCGCCUAGCCCCAGGGUGAUGUGCCGGUGGACGUAUGCCGGGAACAUCAUGGAUGGGGUGGUGGUGUGGAACGAGGAGUGGCCCGAGGCCUGGUCGUGCAGGGAGGGGGCCGGCGGGAUGUGCAGGCUCGUGUUCGAGAACAAGGUGGUGACCCUCGUCACGGCCAAGGGAAGGAGGGUCAUGGGCGACGUCGCCAUCAAGGAGUGCAGCAAGAACUGGUUCGGGUGGCUACCUUUUGGGCUCGGCUGCACCUACCCCAAGCACGACCACCCAUACAUCGGCACCAUCGUGGAGUAAUUAAGUAUGGACACAACACCAGCAUGGGAUUGAUGUGUCUGAUCCGUGAUAAUUAUCCACCGUAUAUGAUGCCAUGAGAUGGCUAGCAUAAUUGUUGUUCUAACUUCAAUGGAAAAUAUUCCGAGAUGGCAAAUAUUAAGAGAUGACUAUGAAAACACUUCUUUCAAUCCUCGAAUUGAAAGAAAGAUUGAGAUGGAUCAAGAAUCAUAAUUCUCGCUAUUGAGUGUGACUUAUAGUGAUCAUUUCUCUUUAGUAAAAAAUGACCUUCACGAGUUUAGUAGAUCCACUGAUUUUUAUAGAAAUAAUACUUACGGUAUCUCCUCCAGUAUGUCUAGUACCAAACAUUAUUUAACAAAUAAAAAUAUAAAAGACACUGGAAAACAUUUCCCCUAGUCUUUAAAGUCUUUGACUCCAUCUUCUUGUCCAGACGACAGAGAAUGUCAUCCACUUCACCACUGGGUCAUAUGGAUGGAGUUAUUGCAAAUACCACACGAGAAAGUUCACCAAUAACACUCGUCGCCAUGGGCUACAUAAACUGCAAUAGAAACUUGUCAAGAAAUGUAGGAGAUAGCACAAGUUGGAAGAUUGUCAGCCACACACUACAGACGCACCUUACGAACAAGGUUGUGGAAAGUAUAGAUGGCUGAAUAUUGUUGUUGUUGUGUUGUAUUGAUCUAACCCUCGUAGGGGUAUAUAUAGGAGUACAUGAGGGGUAGAGGCUUGGAGUACAAGACAAGUUACAUGUGGUUUAAACUAAUUCUAUCUCUAUCUCCUUAUCUCUAACUUAACCCCAAUUAUACUUCUAACAUUCCCCCUCAGUCGUAGCGGGAGUGAAGCGGAUGCUUGCGACUGAAUUUGA
rnacentral:lncRNA from 1 species